rnacentral:tRNA from 1 species
CGGGGCGUAGCGAAGCUCGGUAUCGCGCACGGUUCGGGACCGUGAGAUCGACAGUUCAAAUCUGUCCGCCCCGA